AGUCCCCCAUCCUGCUUGCCCUGCUCACAAGCUGUUGAGGCUAUGAAGAGGCAACCAGCAUUCAAACGAAAAAAUAUUGAAAAGUUAAUUUUUAAAUAAAAGAUAAACAGGAUGAUGAGAGGAUAUGGGACAUACAAAAUAAGGGAAUACAGCAGAGCAGCGGCAGUCUUGAGGAGGGGCUACAUGUAAGUACCUCUUAAAGUUGAAGGGAAAUGUUUGCU